GACGAACGCUGGCGGCGUGCUUAACACAUGCAAGUCGAACGGAAAGGCCCUGCUUUUGUGGGGUGCUCGAGUGGCGAACGGGUGAGUAACACGUGAGUAACCUGCCCUUGACUUUGUGAUAACUUCAGGAAACUGGGGCUAAUACCGGAUAGGAUCUCCUGCUGCAUGGUGGGGGUUGGAAAGUUUCGGCGGUUGGGGCUGGACUCGCGGCUUAUCAGCUUGUUGGUGGGGUAGUGGCUUACCAAGGCUUUGACGGGUAGCCGGCCUGAGAGGGUGACCGGGCACAUUGGGACUGCGAUACGGACCAGACGCCUACGGGAGGCAGCAGUCGGGAAUAUUGCGCAAUGGGCGGAAGCCUGAUGCAGAAACGCCGCGUGCGGGAUGACGGGCUUCGGGUUGUAAACCGCUUUCGCCUGUGACGAAGCGUGAGUGACGGUAAUGGGUAAGGAAGCACCGGCUAACUACGUG
rnacentral:rRNA from 1 species